rnacentral:lncRNA from 1 species
AAAAUAAUGUUUCUAAAAUAUAAAACUUGUUUCAGAACGGAAAUAAGAAGGAAAAAAAAAUGUUUUAUAUUUAAAAAAAAACUUAGAUGAGGGCCUUGAUUAGGAUCUUCAUAUCUGUAUUCUAGAAUUUGUGUCUAUUAUUCUCGCCCGUUGGUUGCCAGGACGUCUGCUGAUGCCUGCAUUUUCCCACUGAUAGACCGCGACUUAAAUUUUAUUCUUUUAAUUUUAACACUCGAUUUUUGAGAAGAAAAAAAAAGAUUUUGUCCUAUUAUAUAUUCUUUAAAUUUGGUCUAUUUUCCUCUUUUCGGUAAACCCGUUCUGAUCAUAAUUUAUUUAGAUAAGUGUUGUUCGUCACACUGAGACCCCAUCAUAAAGAAAAAACAAAACACACAAAUAAAAAAAAAAACACACACACACACACACCGAAAUGAAUGGAAGUUGUCCGAGUCGAACCAAACAAAUAUUUUAGACACAAUCUACAGGCAUGCAGGUGUAAUAACUGAUAAUUUUGAUAAGAGGUUCUUACUUCCCACAAAGCUACCUAUGUCAAACAAUAUUUAUUUCUGAUUACAGUAAUAUGAACAAUCGUUUUAGUUCAAAAUCCCACAAACCGAUUGAUUCAUCGAAGUUUUUACCACUGAGAAUUUUGUUCACACAUAAAUUAUACACAGUAUUUUUUUUUCUCAUAAAUGUUAUAUCAAAAGUAUAAUUUAGAUACUUAUAACGUCAGUCAAUCAUGCAAUGCUUCCAUCAGUCUUUAAAAGGAAAUAAUGGCAGUACUGAAAUAUAGUGUGUUACACGGUUGAAAGGGUAGAAAACAGGUUGGGGACUAGGUAUCAUCCACUUUUUGGCAAAAGAAAAUUAAUGACAAAUAAAAAAAAAAUGGAAAUAAAAGAGGACAUUGACAAAACAAUAGACUAUUAUACUAUAGAAUAUAUAUUUUAGAUUAUAGAAGACUUUUAAAUUUUUUGUUUGCUUUCCAAUGACAAAGCCUUGAUCCCUCACCUUCAUUCUAUUCUUACGUAUACGCCGCUAAUAGUUUCGUAACUUGAAUUUGUCCCUUUGUUUAUAAGCGGUGCUACCAAAAAGAAAGUUGAAGAUGCUGGCUGGUAAAUUGUUUUUGAAAAGAUUGGAGACGUUGUAAAUUUUCUUUUAACAUGGUCAGCACUCGUUUACCCAGCUGUCAUUCUGUAUUAUUUCAUUAAGGUUUGGAUAAAAACUGUCAUAAAACAUUUAAGACACAACAAAAUAAGUAUUUGUAUUUAGAAUAAUUGUGUUCUAUUACAAAAUACGGAACAAAAAUAUUGAUUUGACG